UGAAUACGAGACGCUAAGGCGUCGAAGUAGUGUAUGUCAUACUUCCAAGAAAAGCUUGCACUGUCAUAGAUAAAAAACGCCUGUACCAUAACCGACACAGGUGGGUAGGUAGAGUAUACUAAGGGGCGCGAGAUAACUCUCUCUAAGGAACUCGGCAAAAUAACUCCGUAACUUCGGGAGAAGGAGUGCCUUAUUCGUAAGGUUGCAAUAACAAGAUCCAAGCAACUGUUUAUCAAAAACACAGGUCUCCGCUAAGUCGUAAGACGAUGUAUGGGGGCUGACGCCUGCCCAGUGCCAGAAGGUUAAAGAAGUUGGUUAGCAAUUGCGAAGCUGAUAACUGAAGCCCUGGUGAACGGCGGCCGUAACAAUAACGGUCCUAAGGUAGCGAAAUUCCUUGUCGGGUAAGUUCCGACCCGCACGAAAGGCGUAAUGAUUUGGAUACUGUCUCGGAGAGGGGCUCGGUGAAAUAGACUUGUCUGUGAAGAUGCGGACUACCUGCACCAGGACAGAAAGACCCUAUGAAGCUUUACUGUAACUUGAAAUUGAAAUUGGACUUUAUUCGCGCAGUAUAGGUGGGAGGCGUUGAUUAUAAUCUUGUGGGAUUAUUGGAGCCAUCAGUGAGAUACCACUCUUGUAAUGUUAGAUUUCUAACUUUGAAUCAUUAUCUGGUCAGAGAACAGUUUCAGGCGGGCAGUUUGACUGGGGCGGUCGCCUCCUAAACGGUAACGGAGGCGUACAAAGGUUUCCUCUGAACGGUUAGAAAUCGUAUCUAGAGUGUAAAGGCAUAAGGAAGCUUGACUGUGAGACCUACAAGUCGAGCAGGGACGAAAGUCGGUCUUAGUGAUCUGACGGUACUGAGUGGAAAGGCCGUCACUCAACGGAUAAAAGUUACUCUAGGAUAACAGGCUGAUCUCCCCCAAGAGUUCACAUCGACGGGGAGGUUUGGCACCCCGAUGUCGGCUCAUCGCAUCCUGGGGCGGUAGUACGUCCCAAGGGUUGGGCUGUUCGCCCAUGAAAGCGGUACGCGAGCUGGGUUCAGAACGUCGUGAGACAGUUCGGUCCAUAUCCGGUGUAGGCGUUAGAAUAUUGAGAGGAGCCUUCUUCAGUACGAGAGGACCGAGAAGGACAUACCUCUGGUGUACCAGUUAUCGUGCCAACGGUAAACGCUGGGUAGCUAUGUAUGGAGUGGAUAACCGCUGAAAGCAUCUAAGUGGGAAGCCCACCUCAAGAUAAGUAUUCUCAGC
rnacentral:rRNA from 1 species